UAGGAAUCAUAUUAUGCUCGAUGUUGUUACCUACCAUGAGAUGCUAUAUGUGUCACGACCCGCGACCACCCGCCUAUUUGGCCGAGGUCGCGGCGCCGCCGACAGACCGCCGAACGGACAGAGUCUCCCCUGUACGUCCUAGGCGUCGCAAUCAAUACAAGUACAAGAAGUUCCAACCAAGAACAGUAUUCAAGCAAGAUUGCAUAAGGAAGGUAUCAAACAACAUAACACAUCCUAU
rnacentral:lncRNA from 1 species